GAGACAGAGGAAGAGAGAGAGAAUCCCAGGCGCUAAGAGUGCAGAGCCUUAAGCAGGGCUAGAUCUCACCAACAGUGAGAUCAUGACGUGAGCUGAGAUCAAGAGUCCCACGCUUAACCCACUGAGCCACGCAGGCACCCCCAUCAGUAUUUUUUUUAACUUAAUUUUAUUUAUCCUCUCUCCCCACCAAAGCAUUGUUUUCUCCCCAGUGCCUGGCAUUAUGUCCUCAAUUCAUGUGCGUUGUUGUGGAAAGUACUGCUGGCCUUUUACCAGAUGAUACAACAGAAACCACGUACGUAUUGUAAAGUUCAUGUAAUCUUCGUGUGAAAAGGAUUAUAGUCCAUUUACUUUACUUUCAAAUAAGGUAACUCAAGCCCGAGGGAGGAACUAAAUACCUAAGAUCCCUCGGCCUCGGUAAGUGGCCAAUCAGGACCAGAACCCAGUGUCCCAGCUCGCAGGUCAGAGCUGUCCUGCUUUUCAACACUCUUCAUUUUGACCACUCCCCCAAACCCGCUCACCCAUCAAGGCAGCCUGUUUAAUAAAUACCAAACCGUCUCCUCAAUCACAAACUGCGGCCCUUUCAUCAAACCCGUAGUCACUCCCAAACCCGCCCCUGUCCCGGAUCCAUCCUAUCCCCAUCACCACCUCAAGCCCAGCCCCGGGAGUUGACCAGUGGGGCCUACCGUCCCUCACUGCGCUUGCGCCACUCGGCUGGGGACUCUGUCGCCAUAGCAACCAGAGACACGCGAAUUGGCCUGAAGCAACAGGGGAGAGGAGUUCCUGGCGUACAAUGUAGUGACUCAACAGUCCUACACGUUACUCAGUGCUCAUCAAGCAUCAUGUAGGACUUUGACCGACACACCGUUAGACAACUCAACGGGAAGUGAGGGUGGCCCAGCGUCCUCUUCCUUUCUGGUGCAAUGGUAACUCCAGGGACCUUGACGGUGUGAGGUGAGCGAAUGGUCGGUUCCAGGCUCUCAGAACCAAGUUUUUUAAGGUGUCAAUUAGCUUCCUAACCUGUUAAUACCUACAGAGAAAAAGAAAAAUUCUCCUUUUUCUUAGAAAAACUUAUUUUCGGGGCGGGUGGGUGGCUCAGUAGGUGAAGCAUCGGACUUCAGCUCAGGUCACAAUCUCACGGUUUGUGAGUUC